rnacentral:rRNA from 1 species
CACGGGGGAGCAAGCGUUGUUCGGAAUUACUGGGCGUAAAGGGUGGUCUAGGCGGUCGAGUAAGUGAGAUGUGAAAUGCCCCGGCUCACCCGGGGACCUGCAUUUCAUACUGCUCGGCUCGAGUACGGGAGAGGAUGAGGGAAUUCCAGGUGUAGAGGUGGAAAUUCGUAGAUAUUCGCAAGAACACCAGUGGCGAAGGCGGCUCACGUGGCCCGGG